rnacentral:rRNA from 1 species
CAACCCUCAAGCUCUGCUUGGUAUUGGGCCUCGCCAGUAAAAUGGCGGGCCUUAAAAUCAGUGUGCGGUGCCGUUGGGUCCUGAGCGUAGUAAUUUUUUCUCGCUACAGGUUCCCCGCGUGCCUCUGCCAUUAAACCCCAAAUUUUUCUAUGGUU